AGAGAGAGAGAGAGAGAGUAAAAUUAAAGCUUCAUAUUAGCAAGAAUACUAAAUGAGGGCCUGUAAAGAUAUCCCUCUACAUUCAUUACUGAUAUUAUUUUUAACAAGUAGUCUCCAAACAUUUAUUAGCUAGAAAAAGUCAUCUAUCAUAUUUGAGAAAAGGGGAAGGAAAAAAAGAGAGGUCAAAACUACUAGCUUACAUGUUCAGUCCAUUGACAAGGAGAUGAUAAGAGAACCAAAGUGGUAGAAUGGUACAUCAGGAUAGAAGGCAAUUAUGUUAUUUAACCAGAAAAUGGUUGGUAAAUAACCAACAAAUUAAAUUCACUAAAAAAGCCAACCACUAACAAAACUCAAUCCAAAAAUAGUAAAAACCUAGAGAUAACGACAACUAAUCACUAGUAGAUCAGAUUUCUCAAAUCAGAUUAAAAUAAAAGAGAGAGAGAGAGAGUUGGGUCCAAAUCUGGAUUUUUUGUCCGCCUGAAUCGGUAUUUGGACCCUUUGUUUGUGGGCCUUGUAGGUAGUCUUGAGUU
rnacentral:misc_RNA from 1 species